CUACGGGAGGCAGCAGUGGGGAAUAUUGGACAAUGGGGGAAACCCUGAUCCAGCAAUGCCGCGUGUGUGAAGAAGGCCUGCGGGUUGUAAAGCACUUUCGGUUGGGAGGACUGCUUCUAGCACUAAUAUUGUUGGAAGUUGACGUUACCUUCAGAAGAAGCACCGGCUAACUCCGUGCCAGCAGCCGCGGUGAAUACGGAGGGUGCAAGCGUUAAUCGGAAUUACUGGGCGUAAAGCGCGCGUAGGCGGCUAGAUCAGUCGGGUGUGAAAGCCCCGGGCUUAACCUGGGAACUGCAUCCGAUACCGUCUAGCUUGAGUACAGGAGAGGAGAGUGGAAUUCCACAUGUAGCGGUGAAAUGCGUAGAUAUGUGGAGGAACACCAAUGGCGAAGGCAGCUCUCUGGCCUGAUACUGACGCUGAGGUGCGAAAGCGUGGGGAGCAAACAGGAUUAGAUACCCUAGUAGUC
rnacentral:rRNA from 1 species